GUUAGGAAUAUUGGACAAUGGACGCAAGUCUGAUCCAGCCAUGCCGCGUGAGUGAUGAAGGCCUUCGGGUUGUAAAGCUCUUUAGCCGAUGAUUAUAAUGACUGUAGUCGGAAAAUAAGCCCCGGCUAACUUCGUGCCAGCAGCCGCGGUAAUACGAAGGGGGCGAGCGUUAUUCGGAAUCACUGGGCGUAAAGCGUGCGUAGGCGGUUUUGUAAGUUAGGAGUGAAAGCCCAGGGCUCAACCUUGGAAUUGCUCUUAAAACUGCAAGGCUCGAAUCUCGGAGAGGAUAGCGGAAUUUCCAGUGUAGCAGUGAAAUGCGUAGAUAUUAGAAGGAACACCAGUGGCGUAAGCGGCUAUCUGGACGAGUAUUGACGCUGAGGCACGAAAGCGUGGGGAUCAAACAGGAUUAGAUACCCUUGUAGUCC
rnacentral:rRNA from 1 species